UGUAAGACCAGUUCUUGCAUCGUCUCUUGGGCUUGGCAUCUCUGCUGCGCUUCUGUUGGUGAUGGGUUCUCGUUUCAAGAGAUCAGGGAAGAUAUUUCCUGCAGGUGUUGUAUCACUUGUGUCUUUCGUAUGACUGGUGGUUACUUUCAUGGAAUUCUACGUAGUGUGCACUAGCAUGUGGAAUGAUGGAGAUGAGGCUGUAGGUAAACUUUGCUGGAAACUCAUCUCCUCCGGUUAUAAAGUGUGUGUUUUGAAGUAUAGCCUUUGUUAUGAAAUAAGGAUGUCAGUUCGAACCUCAUUUGGACCUCGAGUUCCUUCUUUUCCCUUUGCUUUUGGAAGAAAGUAACAUAUGCCUAAUGGGGUUGUAUUUGAAGACGAUAUCCAUAUGUGCAUAUAAAAAAAAUUAGUUUUCUGCAGUGUAUUAGCAUUUCAUUUUAAAAGCAUCUGUAUAAGAAAUACUUGCUCUGUUUCAGAAUAGUUCUUUCUAAAAAUAUUGUUUCA